rnacentral:rRNA from 1 species
GGACUACUGGGGUUUCUAAUCCCUUUCGCUCCCCUAGCUUUCGUUCAUCAGCGUCAGAAAAUUUCUAGUUACCUGCCUUCGCCCUUGGAAUUCCUAUCGAUAUCAACGGAUUUCACCCCUACACCGAUAGUUCUAGUAACCCCGAAAUAUCUCAACUCUUGCAGUAUUACUUCCCUUCCCGAGGUUGAGCCUCAGUCUUUGAAAAAUAACUUACAAAAGAGCCUACAGAAACGCUUUACGCCCAAUAAAUCCGGACAACGCUUGCACCUCUCGUAUUACCGCGGCUGCUGGCAC